AAUAAUGGAAGAGGCAGAGAGGUGGGGGUGGUUUCUUAUUAGACCUACACCUGUUUGAGGGUAAAUAAUACCAGUGUCUUUCCGUAUAUGUGGGCCUGCUGUAUGUUGUGUGAUUUUGAGGGAUUUAAAAUGAAUGUUUUCUCCCCUUUUUUUUUUUUUUACCACAAAUAACAACUCACAUCUCCAGUUUUAGAUAGGAAUUGUGGGAAAGGACAUUUACAGAUGCAGUUAACAGCUAUAGGAAUUAGGUUCUGAUCAUUUUUCCCUUAAAAAUGAAUUACUCUUCUGUUCUCUUUAGUUUUUUUCCAGCCUGGCCACAAGGGAAAAAACCCAUUUGUAGGACAAAUAGUGACGUCAGUGGUGAGGAAUAAACUUAAACAGGCAUGUGUGUUUGUCACUGAAAAGCAGAGGUCAGGAGGACAGGGCAGACAGCUGGACGGUGACUCCUGCGUCACCGUGCGCCGAAUCCAGGUAGCAACGGCAGAGUUUAAGUGGCGUUUCCACGGAGACCACUCUCUGAGUCUUCAGAGAUGAAAAUGAAAGAUUCCAUGCGCUCAUGCUGAAAGUGCUGCUGUCAAAGCUACGAGGUGGAUAAGGAGGAAGAAGAAAUGGAGCAGUAGUGAUUUGCAGUUUGGAGCUGGAUGAAGCUGGAAUCUCAGUUUUCCAUGUAUUCAUGGUUGGAGAAUGGUUUCCAUGUAUGGCCGGGAGCAGCGUGCAUGAAGCUAGAGUGAAAAUGGAGCUUUACUGAAUAAUUAACAGCCUUUCAUAUGCUGUUAUGCACAGUUUGAACUGAACUCGUACAUGUGGACAGGAAUUAAGUCAUAUUUGAUUUAGCAAAAAUUAAAGGCUGAUUAAUUUUUAUAUCAGAUUUACACUCAAAACUUUCUCCGAUUGUCCACAUCUAAAACUUCUUAUCAACUCUGGAGAAAGAAAAAUAGUACAAACAGGCCUCACACAGGCCAUUCCUUUCCCUGUGCAUGCUGGGAAAUGCAGUAACCUAGCAAUCGCAUUGUUGCCAGGGAACGCACAAGGGAACAUAUUCAUUUGCGUGCAUUAAACACAUUAGAGGCAUUUUCCUUGAACUUGCACAAUGAUACACGUGAUGCACACAAAGGAGUAAAUCAUCACAUCACCCUGGCCACAGAAGGAGGGUAACACUCACAGACAUGCAAACACUUUCCACAAGUAACUCCACAUUAUUACCACAUACUGACAUUAGGCGUUUUACCAAGACUCUUGCACAUGCCCCAUGAUGCACAGUGGGGGUAUAUGGUAUGCGUGCAUGACUAUACAAUUAGCAUCAUAGUAUGGCACUUAUACACACACAGCAGCCUCUUCUGGUAUGCACAAGGGCACUCUUAUUUACAUGCGUCAAACACACUAUGCCCCACUGUUCACACACCACACACACACACACACUAUUCUGCCCAGAUACUGUAUAAUGAUGAUGCUACUUUGGUCCCCAAACAAGAUUAUUCAAGCGUCUUUCUUUUUCAUGCAUCCAUCAUUCGCCAUCUUUCUCUGCUUUUGUCAGACGGCCCCUUGUGCUCAUCUUUUGUCAGUUCCCGUAUUUACAUUUUGUUGAGGUUUUCCUGGAUAUUUCUUGCAUGUGCAAAUAAUGUUGACAAGCUGUAUGUAAAUCGUUGAAAUUUUACAUGCUCAUGUGAAAAAUUUUAUAUCAAAACAUGUUAUUUGUGAAUCUGAAUUGGAAAUGUGAACUAAAAAGUAGCUUUGAAAACCUGAAAGCUUAAAUGAAAGAUCAUCGAUGGAAAAAAAAAAAAAGUCAGCAGUGAUUUUUUUUUUUUUUUUUUGAAUUUAUGACCAUGAUGCAAAACCUACGUAAAAGUAUUAGAAUGAAAUUUCAGGCUGUUUAGUCAGUUGCCCCCGUGAUGCCCUACAUCUGUCAUCUUGUUAAGAACACCAUACUUCUGUCCAGGAAGUGAGGCUGCCAAAGUGGGAUAGUAGGAGUGUGUCUGCAUAGUAACAAAGCCUGCCAAAGCAUGAGGAAUAAUGGUCUGUCUGUGUGUGUGUGUGUGUGUGUGUGUGUGUGUGUGUGUGUGUGUGUGUGUGUGUGUGUGUGUGUGUGUGUGUGUGUGUGUGUGUGUGUGUGUGUGUGUGUGUGUGUGUGUGUGUGUGUCUGUGUCUGUGUCUGGUGCACUGGCUACAGUCUGCAGGGGGUCUGUUCCUCUUCACUGGGCACAGAGAUACAGUGUAAACAACUCCCCCAGUCAGCCAAUCAGACAACACACUACAGUGACACCCAUGCCCUGACAGUAACCUCACCACCACACACACACACACACACACACACACACACACACACACACACACACACACACACACACUGAUGUCCAUGACCAAACACAGUCAGAGUGGAUGUGAGACACACAUACAGUCAUGUGAAAAAUUAAACACACCCUGUGGAAAUAUUUAAACAAGCAAAACAUUUGAUCCUUUUUGAAACAGUGCCACAGUGAAAGGUGAUAUACUUGAACACACAACACAUUAAACAUUCAAAUUGCUCCAGAUUGGGUGCCAAUGUUAAGAACCUUUCCAAAAAGAAGUCUCCCAGAACCCAGAAAAAGCAUUUACCAUCUCAAAAGAACAUUAGAGCAACACUGCAGUUUGCCAGUGAACAUAUAGGCAAAGAUCAGGCCUUUUGGAAUAAUGUACUCGAGACAGAAAAACCACAGCGUUGUUUGGCCACAGUAACUGGACAUGUUUUGGCGCAGACCAAAGACAGCUUUUGAGGAGAACCUGACACCGACUGUGAAGCACGGUGGUGGAAAUGAAAUGGUUUGAGGUUGUCUCCUUGCCUCAGGGACUGGGCAGCUUGCAGUCAUCGAUUCAACCAUGAAUUCUGCAUCAUAUCAGAGAGUGCUUGAAGAUAAAGUGAGGCCAUCUGUCCCAAAGCUGAUGUAGAACCAGAAGUGGACUUUUCAACAGGGUAAUGAUAACUAGCAAAUCAGUACAUGCAAGAAAACCCUCAAACAUCUUGCAACUUCUACAUGGAAGUGUGACCGAGCCAGAAAUGAUUACAAAAUGAAUGUCAACAACGGCACCUUACCGAGACUCCACCCCAGAUAAUACACUAUUUUUAGCCCAAACUAAAUGGCUCACAGGUGACAGAGCAAAACAAUGGGAUUUCCACAAACACAUGCAAGUCCACGAAUAAAAUGUGUCUUACUGAGUAACAUGUAAUUAAUUUACCAAGUAGUAAAAAAUCCAUUGAAAACAACCCAAAUAUUCGAAACAGAUUUGUUUAACACGAUUGCCAAGACUGAAAUGAUCAUAAAUGGCUAAAAAAAACAAACAGAAUGUCCCCAAACUUCAAGAUAGAGGAACUAUUAAUUGAUCUGGAGAGGAGCCUUGGCUAACCCUGAAACUGGAAAGCACCUUAGGGAGAGGCAUAGGAUUAGUGCACACGGCAAAAUGACACUUAAGGUAAAAGGCAUGCAAAUAUAAAGGGAAGGGAAGAACAACCUGCUACGCUAUGAGGUCACCCUAUAACGGCAUUUCUUUCCAAUUUAGAAUGACAUUCUCCAGUAAUAGUCCUCUCAAGCUAAAGUAAAAACAGAAGUUAGACUUCUAAAAACCCAACCAUGUGGGAAUACAAUGAAAUGUCAAUAAGAUUAACAUCAGGCCGUUAUAUAACAAAAAAAAAAAAAAAAAAAGAACAGACGAAAGUCCAACAAGCCAAAGGAUAAAAGUCAAUAUCAAACAAUAAAAUUCAAGCGAGUAGCAGUCACUAUCAGACUGGGCACAGCAGCAGUGGUUGUCUCUGCUCUCGGCUGCACGCAACACCCCUGUGUCUGGGAUAACACUACGGGACCAGGUUUCUCAGCAAGUCAUUACAGGACACACUGGGAGCAGCUCCGCACACAAGAACGUCGACCCUGACCAGAACAGGCCCAACAUGGCAGCAGAGAAAAAAGAUGAUAACGGCUUUCUCCUAACAGUCUUUAUCUCCGUGGGACUAGGGGGAAACUCUCCGCAUUGGUUGCACAGCGCAGGGUCUUCUGGCUGAAAUGGGCCUAGCAAAGGCAAGCUGAUGUUAGAGAUGCCUACAGGAAGUUAUUUCUGCUAAAGGGGGGCAUACCCUUCUGAGGCGAAGGUUAAGCUUUUUCCACAGAGGAAUAAUACAUCUAUUGAUAUUUUUGUUAAAUUAAUUAUUGAAAACAAUUUUUCUUGUGGUUUUGUUCAAUAUCGCCUUUCCCUGCAGGCACUGUAUCAAAGAGGAUCAAAUGUGCUUGUUCAAAUAUGUUGGAAAAGUCAACAAUUUCCACACACACACACACACACACACACGCACAGUACAGCAUUAACUGUUAGAGGACACACAGCAGAGACGUUCAUGACACUAUCUGACCUCAUUUCAGUGUGAGUGUGUCUGAAGUGGGGGAGGCUGCAGACAGAAAUACAUUAGUGAUGGAGCCGAGUCUGGGGUCCCACACGACUAACAUAAUGGCACACACAUUGUACUCUUAAACGUAUUUCACAGUACACAGUAUCCACUUCCACCCAGGCGCGGCAGCAUGUGUGAUAUUGUCACCUCCACAGAAAAAAAAAAAAACUGUGAAAAACUCACAGCCUGUAAUGAUGUUUGUCCUUGUGUAAGUCCUUGUUUUCUGCUGUUUUUGUUCCUCUGGAAGGAAGCCAUAAUGAAAUCCCUGUGUGGACCACAGAAUCCCAUCGUCCUCUCCUGUCCUUGUCUGGGGGAGCAGAGUCAGGAGAAUGAGGAGAGGUGUCCCGAGACAGACACACAGAAAGACAAAUUAAUUAGUAAUUAAAGACAGUGAGAGAAA